GCCUCGUCCCGAAAAACCAGUCAAAAUUGUCUUCAUUGAGCCAUUUUAGAUCAGAAAUAAAUAGCCACCAUAUACAGUUUCGGUUAUAAACGUUAGUUAUGUGUUCUUUUCUUUGUCUCCUUCAUCUAUUUUGAAUAGAAAAAAUCUCAAAAUUUUAGCCGAUUUUGGAGACAUAAUCUCUUGGGCGUGAAGAUGAUUUGAUUUUGUUUUGUUUAGUACUGGAGGAAUUGCUUAUAACCAUGUUGAGGAUUGGACUGAAUCCAGGAUACUGGUAUAACUUGCUCGACCCUUGUCAACUCUCUUUUUUG